CCAAUCCAGUCUGGGUGGACCGGAAGACCAGGGCCAUCAUCCAAUCCAAUCUGUGUGGACGGGAAGACCGGGCUGUCAUCCAAUCCAGUGGCCAGCUUUGCAGCCCGCCUCGGCUCACAGGGUUCCUACGUAAGCUUUUCUAGCCAGGGUGGGUGUUUCAGAGUCUGAGUUUGGGAAUGAGAAACUAGUGACUCCAGAAUAGAAACACCCUCUUCAAGUGGGUUAAACUCCAGCCCUGACAUUUAAUUAGCUUCUUUUUCAGCUCCCACACUUGAAGCGUACCUGUUAUUUCUUUUCUUUUACUCACAAUACCCUGUAAGCCAGGCGCGUUUGCCUGAGCUCCGGAACCUCUCAUCAGAAGUCAAUCACUUUGGAAACGUGAUAAACAGUUCUGCAAGCCUUCUAAGAGGAUGGUGGCAGAUUGGGGCUCAGGAUGUGAGGGGCUUCCCCAGAUGAUAGUGAAUCGAGGGAACAUGCAUAAGCUCCCACCCUUUGAUUUAUCCACCCUGUCCACAUAAUCUUUGAUUAGGUCACUACUUCCCCAAGUGAGUUCAGGCAUCGGUCUAAUGGGCCCCUGGACCAUUUGCUUCUGGAACACAGCAAAGACAGCAUAAAUGACCAGUUGAUGGCAGCCUUGCGGCCCUGCCUGCUUGGGUGGUGAGAAGUUACCAGGACUACUGGGUGGGGGUAGGGCUAGGGGGAGGGUCAUUCAUGAUCUCACAAGUGUUAAAGGUGGGGGCAGUGAGGGUGUGGGGGGGGGCAGAGAUGGAGUACAAUGAAAGAGAAUGCAAAAUCCUGGCUUAGGACUAGGCUGGGAAGGUUAUGGUAGAGACAGUAGGGUAGGCAGCAGCGGGUGUGGGUGGUUGUGGGCAGUGUCCAGGCAGAGGAUGCUGUAUAUGCUAAUGUCCUGCUGCCACAGAAGCUUGGAGCCUACCAUCAAUAGGAUGGUGUUUCUGACAUCCAUCUCUUGGUGCCACCAUCCUGCUUGGCUCUUCCCCAGCCUGUUGGCCUCAUCCCCCAAUUCCUUUUCGUGAUCUUCACUCACUUAUCCAGAAACAGCUGGUGUCCCCAUGGGCCCAUGGUGUCAGGUCUUCCUUACCAUAACUCUAGUCCUUCCCACAUUUUCAACCAGUUUCCUUUCUGAAAGCCUCAAUUUUACCACACUGGGUGCUCCCUGUCUUCACAGUAUGCUCUGGAAUUUUCUGUCUCUGAAUCCAGGUUCUUUCCUGGGAUUGCCCCCCCUUCUGCUUCAGUUCCCCUUAAUUUGAGAUCACUGACCUCUCCUACUCUGCCCUGAGUCAUCCUGUCAUUUUGGUGCGGCUAUGUUUGCUUUUGUUAUAUGGGGCUGAGAACCAGGCCAGAGAGGUUGGUGCGUGGGGAGUCGGGGGGAGACACAGGACUGGAAGAAAGCAUCAGAUGUGAGGGAGGAUGUAUUGGGGGUUCUGAGAUACUUAGGAUCCAGUGCUAAUGCUGCCAUUUAGUGGUUGUCCAUUCUUAAACAUAUUGUUCAUGUUAUUGAAGUCUUUUGUGGUAUUGGAGUUUGAACCUAAGGCAUUGCAUAUGUUGGGCAAACACUUUCUGCUGAGCUAUAUCUCUAGCUCUCGUCACUUCCUGAGUUUGAGACAUAGUCUCACGAGGUUGUCCAUGGUGGCCUCUCACUCACUCUUUAUCCCAGGUAGUCUUUGAGCUUAUAAUCCUCAUGUCUUGGCCUCUGUAAUAGCUGGGAUUUCAGGCCUGCAUUUGUGGGUCAGCUUGAACCUUUUCAGUUCUAGUCUUUAUGUGACCAUAAGAGACCCUCUAGGGUGCCCUGUAAAGGUCAGUGAUAUUAAUGAGCUCAGCAAAACUCAUAUAAAUGAGGACAUACAUGAGCAUAGUGAUUGUAUGUUUUAGGAACCACCGAACUAGAGAUGGCUUUCUUGAAUAAGCUUUAUUUGAUUCUUUUCAUUACUCUGGGGAGCAGAUUUAGACUCAAACAGCAGGAGACCUGGCAUUCAAAUGCUCGCCUGUCCCUUUAUCCUCUGCUGAGAUGGUGAGGCUUAGUAGAGUGUCUUUAAACUUCUUCUGAAGGUGAGGCCAAUGGGUUGACCCACUCCUAGACCCUGGGCUAGCACAGUCUCCUGGUGAAGGGGCAGAGAGCCAUGGCUGCCUCCCACACCUAACCUCCUUAGACCUACUGGGUUUCUUUCAUUACAAACCUGGGCAAUAUUGUAGUUAGGAGAUCACUCCUCACUAACAUCUGAGAUUCAGAAAUUAUGCUUGCUGUUUGAUGCUCUGGAGUCACAUGAGCCCACAUACAGAUUCCACACAGGUGAUUUGUUAGCUUGAAACAGAGCAAAUGGCUGAAUCUUCAAGUCACGGUUUUCUCAGCAAAAUUGGGACACAGAUGUUCAGUGAGUACAAUAAAACUCUGAGGCUUUUACCUGGCUCUCCAAAGUACUCCUUCAUCCACUCAGUACUGCAGGAGCUGGGGAAUGGACAUCAAGUCUUGCCCUGUAUUCUAGAGGAAGGAGGAGAAGGAAGCAGCUAUGAAAUAAAGUACAUCAGGAAAAGGGCGAGCUUGAGAUGCUGGCAGGCUGGGAAUGUACACGACAGCCAGUGGGGAAUGCGUACAUACAUCCAAUGAGAGAUGACGUUUGGACCAGGUGGCCUAGCUGUGGACUGGGGUAGAGUGGUUGGAGUCUGCAUGUAUUUGGAAGGUAAAAGCUACAGGGUCUCACAACAAGUUGGAUGUGGAGAGUGAGAGAAAGAAGUUAGAGAUGAUAUCAAAGGUUGGAGUGAGAGCAGUUGGAAGGACAGAACGUAAGGGAGCAUUUGCUUGGUGUCAAGUGCUCUCUCAAAGGUAACAAAUGUGUCCCAAACAAAACUGAUCUCACUCACAAGAAAGACUGCUUUAGUCAACAUUCCCCCACACUUCACCCUCUCCACUGUUUACAACCACGACCUAUCACAGCCAGCCAAGAAAAUGUUGUAUUGACUCACUGUUCAAGAAGACAGGGAUUUUUUUUCCCCUUAAGUCUGUCUCUCAGUCAGUUGGCAAGGCUAUUAGGAGGGUAAGGUUAGGUAAUACUGUUUCUUGGACAACCCCAGAGGGGUUGUCAUGGCUUUGAAUGUGAAAGGCCUUUUGUGAGUUUAUGUUUUCAAAAGUUGGUCCCUAGAUGACAACUUUGGUAGGUGGGGCUCACCUGGAGGAGGUAGGUCUCUGGCAACACUUGGGCUCACAGUAUCUGCCUUUGCUCUCUGAUUCCCAUCCUGCAUGAGGUCCAGGUCCUCAGCCAUACACUCACAACCCCAGGCUCUUGAGGUUGGCUGAACCAUUGGAAACAGCAUAAUGCGACCAUCUUCUGCCAAGCUAUACGGAAGUACAGACCUACUGGCAUAAAGAGAAGGAAGCUGAUCUUCGUGCAGAGCCCGGGGCAAAGUGGACCAGCCUCUCUCUAUUGAAUUACUCACUUCUCAGCAUUAGGCACUACAGGAGAAUCCUAGUUAUGUACCUACUUAACAGAGGGCUGACGGAGGAGCACGAAUUGAAGGCCAGACUAGUCUAUGCGGGUAGUUCCAGAUCCAUCUGAAUGACGUGGUGAGACCUUGCCUUAAAACAUACACUCUGUCUCCUUUUAAUGCUCACAGACUCACAAACACCAAACCCCAGUUGACUCCUUAGUUGGUUGUGUCCGGC